rnacentral:misc_RNA from 1 species
AAGCUAAAUCAGCGAUUCUAUGCCUUAAGGGCCGUUGUGCCCAAUAUUUCAAAGAUGGACAAGGCUUCUUUGUUGGGGGAUGCAAUUGCUUAUAUCAAUGAGCUUCAAGCAAAGCUCAAAUUAAUGGAAGCAGAGAGGGAAAAAUUUGGGAGCACUUCAAGAGAGACAUCAGCUUUGGAGGUUAAUUCAAAUGGAAAAAAUCAUAGCCAGGCUCCUGAAGUUGACAUUCAAGCUUCUCAUGACGAGGUUAUUGUAAGGGUGAGUUGCCCUUUAGAUUCACAUCCAGCUUCAAGAGUGAUUCAAGCUUUCAAAGA